rnacentral:rRNA from 1 species
GUGAGGAAUAUUGGUCAAUGGGCGCAAGCCUGAACCAGCCAUCCCGCGUGAAGGAAGAAUGCGCUAUGCGUUGUAAACUUCUUUUCCAGGGGAAUAAAAUUUCGUACGAGUACGGGACUGAAGGUACCUUGGGAAUAAGCAUCGGCUAACUCCGUGCCAGCAGCCGCGGUAAUACGGAGGAUGCGAGCGUUAUCCGGAUUUAUUGGGUUUAAAGGGUGCGUAGGCGGAAAAAUAAGUCAGUGGUGAAAACCUUCAGCUUAACUGGAGACUUGCCAUUGAUACUGUUAUUCUUGAGUAUAGUUAAGGUAGGCGGAAUGUGUAAUGUAGCGGUGAAAUGCUUAGAUAUUACACAGAACACCAAUUGCGAAGGCAGCUUACUGAGCUAUAACUGACGCUGAUGCACGAAAGCGUGGGGAGCGAACAGGAUUAGAAACCCCGGUAGUCC